rnacentral:rRNA from 1 species
AAUCUGGGGCCCUCGGCCUCCGAGUUGUAAUUUGGAGAGGCACCUUCUGGGGGGAGCGCCGGCCCAUGUUCCUUGGAACAGGACGUCACAGAGGGUGAGAAUCCCGUGCGAGGCAGGAUGCCUCCUCCCGUGUGAAGGACCUUCGACGAGUCGAGUUGUUUGGGAAUGCAGCUCCAAGUGGGUGGUAAAUUUCAUCUAAAGCUAAAUACCGGCGGGAGACCGAUAGCGCACAAGUAGAGUGAUCGAAAGAUGAAAAGCACUUUGAAAAUAGAGUCAAAAAGUACGUGAAAUUGUUGAAAGGGAAGCGCUUGAGACCAGACUCAGGCCCGGGCUAACAUCGAGCCCCUCGGGGCCGUGCAAUUGCCCGGGGCUGGGCCAGCAUCAGUUGGCGUGGCGGGACAAAGGCGCGGGCAAUGUGGCUCCCCUCGGGGAGUGUUAUUAGGCCCGCGCUCAAUGCCGCCGACGCCGACUGAGGACCGCGCCUCGGCUAGGAUGCUGGCUUAAUGGCCUUCAGCGACCCGUCUUGAAACACGGA